rnacentral:rRNA from 1 species
AGAGUUUGAUCCUGGCUCAGGAUGAACGCUGGCGGCGUGCCUAACACAUGCAAGUCGAGCGAGAUUAAGUGGAGUGGAGACUUCGGUCAAAGUGAAGCUUAUGAAAGCGGCGGACGGGUGAGUAACGCGUGGGCAACCUGCCCCAUACAGAGGGAUAGCCACUGGAAACGGUGAUUAAUACCACAUAAGUCUUUAAAGUCGCAUGACUUAGAAGACAAAGAUUUAUCGGUAUGGGAUGGGCCCGCGUCUGAUUAGCUAGUUGGUGAGGUAACGGCUCACCAAGGCGACGAUCAGUAGCCGACCUGAGAGGGUGAUCGGCCACACUGGAACUGAGACACGGUCCAGACUCCUACGGGAGGCAGCAGUGGGGAAUAUUGCACAAUGGGCGCAAGCCUGAUGCAGCAACGCCGCGUGAGUGAUGAAGGCCUUCGGGUUGUAAAACUCUGUCCUAUGGGAAGAAACAAAUGACGGUACCAUGGGAGGAAGCCCCGGCUAACUACGUGCCAGCAGCCGCGGUAA